rnacentral:rRNA from 1 species
UGUGUUAGUGGAAGCGUCUGGAAAGGCGCGCGAUACAGGGUGACAGCCCCGUACACAAAAAUGCACAUGCUGUGAGCUCGAUGAGUAGGGCGGGACACGUGGUAUCCUGUCUGAAUAUGGGGGGACCAUCCUCCAAGGCUAAAUACUCCUGACUGACCGAUAGUGAACCAGUACCGUGAGGGAAAGGCGAAAAGAACCCCGGCGAGGGGAGUGAAAAAGAACCUGAAACCGUGUACGUACAAGCAGUGGGAGCACGCUUAGGCGUGUGACUGCGUACCUUUUGUAUAAUGGGUCAGCGACUUAUAUUCUGUAGCAAGGUUAACCGAAUAGGGGAGCCGAAGGGAAACCGAGUCUUAACUGGGCGUUAAGUUGCAGGGUAUAGACCCGAAACCCGGUGAUCUAGCCAUGGGCAGGUUGAAGGUUGGGUAACACUAACUGGAGGACCGAACCGACUAAUGUUGAAAAAUUAGCGGAUGACUUGUGGCUGGGGGUGAAAGGCCAAUCAAACCGGGAGAUAGCUGGUUCUCCCCGAAAGCUAUUUAGGUAGCGCCUCGUGAAUUCAUCUCCGGGGGUAGAGCACUGUUUCGGCAAGGGGGUCAUCCCGACUUACCAACCCGAUGCAAACUGCGAAUACCGGAGAAUGUUAUCACGGGAGACACACGGCGGGUGCUAACGUCCGUCGUGAAGAGGGAAACAACCCAGACCGCCAGCUAAGGUCCCAAAGUCAUGGUUAAGUGGGAAACGAUGUGGGAAGGCCCAGACAGCCAGGAUGUUGGCUUAGAAGCAGCCAUCAUUUAAAGAAAGCGUAAUAGCUCACUGGUCGAGUCGGCCUGCGCGGAAGAUGUAACGGGGCUAAACCAUGCACCGAAGCUGCGGCAGCGACGCUGAUGCGUUGUUGGGUAGGGGAGCGUUCUGUAAGCCUGUGAAGGUGUGCUGUGAGGCAUGCUGGAGGUAUCAGAAGUGCGAAUGCUGACAUAAGUAACGAUAAAGCGGGUGAAAAGCCCGCUCGCCGGAAGACCAAGGGUUCCUGUCCAACGUUAAUCGGGGCAGGGUGAGUCGACCCCUAAGGCGAGGCCGAAAGGCGUAGUCGAUGGGAAACAGGUUAAUAUUCCUGUACUUGG